rnacentral:rRNA from 1 species
GGGUUGUGAGGUUAAGCGACUAAGCGUACACGGUGGAUGCCCUGGCAGUCAGAGGCGAUGAAGGGCGUGCUAAUCUGCGAUAAGCGCCGGUAAGGUGAUAUGAACCGUUAUAACCGGCGAUACCCGAAUGGGGAAACCCAGUGUGAUUCGUCACACUAUCAUUAACUGAAUCCAUAGGUUAAUGAGGCGAACCGGGGGAACUGAAACAUCUAAGUACCCCGAGGAAAAGAAAUCAACCGAGAUUCCCCCAGUAGCGGCGAGCGAACGGGGAGGAGCCCAGAGCCUGAAUCAGCAUGUGUGUUAGUGGAAGCGUCUGGAAAGGCGCGCGAUACAGGGUGACAGCCCCGUACACAAAAGCGCAUGUGCUGUGAGCUCGAUGAGUAGGGCGGGACACGUGGUAUCCUGUCUGAAUAUGGGGGGACCAUCCUCCAAGGCUAAAUACUCCUGACUGACCGAUAGUGAACCAGUACCGUGAGGGAAAGGCGAAAAGAACCCCGGCGAGGGGAGUGAAAAAGAACCUGAAACCGUGUACGUACAAGCAGUGGGAGCNNNNNNNNNNNNNNNNNNNNNNNNNNNNNNNNNNNNNNNNGGCGUUAAGUUGCAGGGUAUAGACCCGAAACCCGGUGAUCUAGCCAUGGGCAGGUUGAAGGUUGGGUAACACUAACUGGAGGACCGAACCGACUAAUGUUGAAAAAUUAGCGGAUGACCUGUGGCUGGGGGUGAAAGGCCAAUCAAACCGGGAGAUAGCUGGUUCUCCCCGAAAGCUAUUUAGGUAGCGCCUCGUGAAUUCAUCUCCGGGGGUAGAGCACUGUUUCGGCUAGGGGGCCAUCCCGGCUUACCAACCCGAUGCAAACUGCGAAUACCGGAGAAUGUUAUCACGGGAGACACACGGCGGGUGCUAACGUCCGUCGUGAAGAGGGAAACAACCCAGACCGCCAGCUAAGGUCCCAAAGUCAUGGUUAAGUGGGAAACGAUGUGGGAAGGCCCAGACAGCCAGGAUGUUGGCUUAGAAGCAGCCAUCAUUUAAAGAAAGCGUAAUAGCUCACUGGUCGAGUCGGCCUGCGCGGAAGAUGUAACGGGGCUAAACCAUGCACCGAAGCUGCGGCAGCGACACUGUGUGUUGUUGGGUAGGGGAGCGUUCUGUAAGCCUGCGAAGGUGGCCUGUGAGGGUUGCUGGAGGUAUCAGAAGUGCGAAUGCUGACAUAAGUAACGAUAAAGCGGGUGAAAAGCCCGCUCGCCGGAAGACCAAGGGUUCCUGUCCAACGUUAAUCGGGGCAGGGUGAGUCGACCCCUAAGGCGAGGCCGAAAGGCGUAGUCGAUGGGAAACGGGUUAAUAUUCCCGUACUUGGUGUUACUGCGAAGGGGGGACGGAGAAGGCUAUGUUGGCCGGGCGACGGUUGUCCCGGUUUAAGCGUGUAGGUGUGUGUUCCAGGUAAAUCCGGUUCACUUUAACACUGAGGCGUGACGACGAGGCACUACGGUGCUGAAGCAACAAAUGCCCUGCUUCCAGGAAAAGCCUCUAAGCAUCAGGUAACAUCAAAUCGUACCCCAAACCGACACAGGUGGUCAGGUAGAGAAUACCAAGGCGCUUGAGAGAACUCGGGUGAAGGAACUAGGCAAAAUGGUGCCGUAACUUCGGGAGAAGGCACGCUGACACGUAGGUGAAGUGAUUUACUCAUGGAGCUGAAGUCAGUCGAAGAUACCAGCUGGCUGCAACUGUUUAUUAAAAACACAGCACUGUGCAAACACGAAAGUGGACGUAUACGGUGUGACGCCUGCCCGGUGCCGGAAGGUUAAUUGAUGGGGUCAGCGCAAGCGAAGCUCCUGAUCGAAGCCCCGGUAAACGGCGGCCGUAACUAUAACGGUCCUAAGGUAGCGAAAUUCCUUGUCGGGUAAGUUCCGACCUGCACGAAUGGCGUAAUGAUGGCCAGGCUGUCUCCACCCGAGACUCAGUGAAAUUGAACUCGCUGUGAAGAUGCAGUGUACCCGCGGCAAGACGGAAAGACCCCGUGAACCUUUACUAUAGCUUGACACUGAACAUUGAGCCUUGAUGUGUAGGAUAGGUGGGAGGCUUUGAAGUGUGGACGCCAGUCUGCAUGGAGCCGACCUUGAAAUACCACCCUUUAAUGUUUGAUGUUCUAACGUGGACCCGUUACCCGGGUUGCGGACAGUGUCUGGUGGGUAGUUUGACUGGGGCGGUCUCCUCCUAAAGAGUAACGGAGGAGCACGAAGGUUGGCUAAUCCUGGUCGGACAUCAGGAGGUUAGUGCAAUGGCAUAAGCCAGCUUGACUGCGAGCGUGACGGCGCGAGCAGGUGCGAAAGCAGGUCAUAGUGAUCCGGUGGUUCUGAAUGGAAGGGCCAUCGCUCAACGGAUAAAAGGUACUCCGGGGAUAACAGGCUGAUACCGCCCAAGAGUUCAUAUCGACGGCGGUGUUUGGCACCUCGAUGUCGGCUCAUCACAUCCUGGGGCUGAAGUAGGUCCCAAGGGUAUGGCUGUUCGCCAUUUAAAGUGGUACGCGAGCUGGGUUUAGAACGUCGUGAGACAGUUCGGUCCCUAUCUGCCGUGGGCGCUGGAGAACUGAGGGGGGCUGCUCCUAGUACGAGAGGACCGGAGUGGACGCAUCACUGGUGUUCGGGUUGUCAUGCCAAUGGCACUGCCCGGUAGCUAAAUGCGGAAGAGAUAAGUGCUGAAAGCAUCUAAGCACGAAACUUGCCCCGAGAUGAGUUCUCCCUGAGACUUAGAGUCUCCUGAAGGAACGUUGAAGACGACGACGUUGAUAGGCCGGGUGUGUAAGCGCAGCGAUGCGUUGAGCUAACCGGUACUAAUGAACCGUGAGGCUUAACCUUACAACGCCGAAG